rnacentral:lncRNA from 1 species
AGGAAGAAAGCGAUAGCAUCUCUGAAUGGGGCUGUGUGGAGAAACCCUAGGAGAAACAGCAUAAAAGCAUUUUGGAAUAUAUCCCGCAAAAGAUAACUUUCUACACAUCUGGCAGAGAUUCUCCAGGUAAAGGCAAGGCUGCCAGCUUUGGGUGCCAGAAGAUUCUGGGCUUUGAAAAGAAGAAACAGCAAGCAAACCCCAC